UUCAUUCAUUCAUUCAUUCAUUCAUUCAUUCGAGACACAGAGAGGCAGAGACCUAGGCAGAGGGAGAAGCAGGCUCCACAUAGGAAGCCUGAUGCAGGACUCAAUCCCAGGACCCCAGGGUCAUGCCCUGAGCUGAUGGCAGAUGUUCAACCACUGAGCCACCCAUGUGCCCCAAGAUUAAAUACUUUUUAAAACUUCUGUUUAUCCUCCCUUCCUUUGAGGAACUGCUCCCAGCUCAGACACCACAUGAUGCUGGGGCCUGCCGGUCCUGUAGGCCGGGGACAGUCACUCUCUCUCCCCAGGGAUCACAUUUCAUAGGGUUGAAAACCCUUCAGGGGUCUCUAUGUUCUGCAGGAAGAAGCUUGUACUCCUCAAUUCAACAUUCAAAGCCCUCUACAACCUGGUCCCAGUCUAUCUUCCCAGUCUUAUAUCCUGGAACCACCAUAUCUCAAAUUGUCAGCUUCUACCUGAAGACCUCUCUUCCCCUAAGUGGGUCUCCUCCCGAGUGUCUCAUACUCCCCUGGAAAACUGAUGAGAGGUCAUUGGAAUCAAAUCACUAAUGGCACAACCCUAAAGUAAAGAUCUUCAGGUUCCUUCCAAGUGUUGCCUUUCCUGAGGUUUCGUUUGUAGCUCUUUCUUCCAUUAGCUACUUAGUACGCUGCCCCAAAACCUGUCCUUCAUGUCAGAGGAAGUAUGUUUGGUAUUUGCUGCCAACAGACUUUAUUAAAGACUUGGAUGUGUCUUCAUGACCACAGCUUGCACCUUGGGGUGCCACGGUGGAAGAGUCACGCUGUGGCCCUGAGUUCCUGACAGGACUUGCCACUGCUUGUGGUACUAGAGCAUCCUGGGAUGGCAGGGUCAUGUAGGAACCAGCACUAGCCUAAGAGAUCAGAGUUGUGGUACUACCAUGGCCAUCUUUGCUGUUUCUUCCCCUUUCUUUCUGUAACCACCACAACCUAAUAUCUGAGCUGCUUUUACAGUUUCCAGGCUUUCUGUUUCCCUUGCCUUCCUCCCACUCCCCAUAUCUCAUAUAUCCAUAAAGGUGGGAGUUUGCACCAUCCUCCAUUAAUCAUCACUUGCUGCAUAAUGCAAGACACUGUAUGUUCCUGUGGUAAAAAUGACAGCAGGGAUCACACAGUACAUGUGUUACUACUGGCUUGAUGGCUGCAGCUUGUCACUUUUCUUCCAUGAACCCAAGGAAAGCAAUUUAGAAUCUCUGUUCCAUGCCAAUUCUGGAUAAUUUUCCAGAUAAUGGAUAAUAGCCAUUUCAUAGGGUUGAAAACCCUUCAGAGGUCUCUAUGUUCUGCAGGAAGAAGCUUGUACUCCUCAAUCUGGCAUUCAAAGCCCUCUACAACCUGGUCCCAGUCUAUCUUCCUAGUCUUAUAUCCUGGAACCACCAUAUCUCAAAUUGUUAGCUUCUACCUGAAGUCCUCUCCUCCCCUAACUGGAUCUCCUCCCCUGAGUGCAUCUCAUACAGCUCCUCAUUCAGAUCUUUGCUAAAGCCAAUAGACUGUUCUCUGUCAUCUGAAAUGCUCCAUCCCCUUCCCCCUUCUAAAAUCUUACCUGGCCUUCAAAGUCUAGCAAGCUUCUUCCUCCUCCAUAAAGACUUCAUGGGAAGCCAUAGAUACAAUCCAGCAUUCCCACUCUUUUUGUAUUCUGCAUAUUUAUUAUCUGUAUCACUCUUAAAACAUUUCUCAUGGUGCCAUCUUGAAUUCUCAACUUUGUAUACAUGCCCAACAAGACUAGAAGCUCCUGGAGGGCAGGAACUGGUCUGUGAUCUGUCUUUGUCUAUCUCACAGUGCUCAGGAUACUGCUGAACACAGAGCAGUCACCCAACAUUUAACCGUAGAACCAAUGCAUUGAUGACCUGUUUCUUAGCUCCUUCUGCAAGACAACAGGACUUUACUCCAGACAAACUGGUCCUCAAGUCUUUGGUCAGAAAUCAUAAAUGCCCUGCUGAGGACCAACAUGCACUCAGAGGAAACAGGGCUAGGACCAAGCUCUCCUGGUUGUGUUUUUAUUUCAUGAUUUCCUGCCCUGGCCGAGACCUGUUUUCCAUAUAACCCCAGGCAUGCAGAAGUCCCAGCUUUGUAUCUAAAAGCAAACACAAGCACUAUAAAUUAUUCUCCCAUUAUAAAUGCCACAGAAGACACAAUAUUAAAAAAGAGAACAUAAAACUCUGCUUUAAAUUUUUAAAGACCUACUCAAAUUGCAAUUCUAACAUAACAGUUCGAGUUGGUCAGGAUAGUUUGAAGACUUAAUCAUAAAAUACAUAGGUUGGUCUUUUUUUUUCUUUACCUUUCAAUCCAUGAUCCUUCAAACUUAACAUCUGCAUAUUAUUUUCAAGUACAGGUUAUACUGCAAACUUUUGUAUGCUAACAACCGUCAUUUAACAAUAAUGCUCUUCAACUACUAGAAAAGUAUUUUGCUCUCUAAAAAACAGUAGGUAUAUUCUGGUCAUUUUAACGUACCCUGUACAACUAUUUUCAAAUUCUUUUUAUCACCUAAUACAAAAAUAAACUCCAACUUGCUUUGUAUCACAUUGUCAUAAAUUUAAAAUUAUAGGGAUUGGGACUAAUGAGGUUUGCACAGUAUCCCAACAUGCUCAUGUUAUCUGAAUUGCAGUAAAAGCUGAAAGCUACUAACCUGAGUCAUCUUGUGAUUACAGGAAAAUUACUUCUUGUCUUUGUGAAGCAUAGCAAUUUCUACCCUCAGAGAGUGACAGUUUUUGCUCAUGACUUUCUUAGAGUGUAAUGUAAAUGAAAAACAGUAGAGUUAAAUCAAACAGCAGGGUCCUUCACAUGAUGAAGCACUUUGCAUGAGUCUCUGAAGGGAACACAGGCCCUAUUAGGAAAAACACAAACACUAGAUGUCAUUUUACAUAAUGCAAAUAUUGAACCAGCUACAGCCCAGGUUGACCUCUUGACCUAUGCAUAAAUUACCCAGGGAUGAAGGGAUUAGAAAGAGCUGUGAAUAUGUGGAGUAUGCCAGAACUGUAAGAGCUAUUUCUGAAUUAAUUCCUAAGCUUUCUAUAAAAUAUACAGUACUUUCUCCCAAAAUUACAUUGAAUGAUCUCAUCUCGUUCCUAGAAAAAUUACAAGCAUUGAGAGUCAACUCUGAAUCCCAUGGUUUAAGGAAACAAAUGUAUACUACUUAAGACAAUAUUACUAAACUGCAUUAAAGCAUUCCAGUACAAUUUAACUACUCAAUAUUUGUUCAUAAUAUCAGUUACUUCCAUACCACUUUGAGAAGUACUCCUACUUAUUCUUCAUUGAUCACAUUUAUUUUCUUUUUUCAUAAUACAUUGGGUCUGUCAUGAAACACAUCAGAAGACUCUUCGUUACUAGAAAAAAAAAAAAAAAAAAAGAUGGGCCUUGUAUGCCAAAAAGCACUUUGUAAUGUAGAAGUCUUGGGGUAUAAAAUGAAAUCUGGAGAGAUGCCUGGUGUGGUAGGAAAAGCCAAUUCUGUAAAACCUUAGGACCUGACUCCUUAUCUGUAAAUAAAGCAAAUAGACCUUAUAUCUAGAUCACAGUUCUCAACCAUGUUCCCUAGUCUUCAGAUUCUUUGUAUGUAAAUUUCACUGCCACAAACCGUACCUCUUAUAUAUAGUGAUUCUCAGGAUGGUGGGGUGGCUUGCAGGUAGCUUCCCCUAACCUCCCCUGCUCUCCAUCCCACACUAAUCUUGGUCCCUACCUAAGAAUCACUGAUCUGGGUGUGCUUUGGAAAUUUUAUUUUGGGUCUUCAGAAUAUGCCUAUACAUUUAAACCCCAGUUGUCCCUCAAUCAUAUCAGGUAUAUGAUCACUGGGACCCCCAAGAGUUGACCUUUUAGGAAGCACAUUUAAGAAGGGUCUUGAAAGAGCUAUUUGUCAUAGGAUCUCAUCUUCCCUCAUGCAAUUUUAGAGUGAGCCUUUAUUGUAAAGGAGAUGAUGCUUGUUCACUGAGCCCCCAUGUUGUCCCGAAAAUAAAUGCUUUCUCCUUGGAUCCAUGCUUGCAUACCCUGAGCUAGGCACUCAGUGGAGUGCCAACUGGGCUAUGUACCUUUCCUUCAGGAAUUAGUACCUAAAUGAAUGAACCUUCUCAGAUAUGCUCCUGAAGAUGAGUCAGUAAGAGUAGCCAAUGAAAGGAAUUGUAGACAGUGCAGAAGGCAUCUGUGAGCUACUUGGGUGGGAGCAGGGGUGAAGAAGCUUUUCUAUAUGCCCAAAUCAUAGCUUCAACACAUAUACAUAUAAUUGACUUUCUUUAUAUUUACUAAAUUAUGAUCCAAAUUGUCCCCUGUUGAAAAUAUAUGAAUCAUUUUAUUUUCUCCAAUUAGUUGCUGGGCAAAGACAAAAUAAGAGUAUAUCUUUUAAAAUGUUGAAUUCAGAUGAGUCCUUUUACAGUAUUAGCCUUAUAUCUCUGGAGUAGUUAGUAUUAAAAAACGUAUUCUCCUUUUCUCCUGAAUAUGGUAAAACAUCUCCUAGGGCAAAGAUUUGUAACUCAUACCUUCUGAAAUUGAGAUUAGCCAUAUGUGUAUUUCCUAAAGAGGGUCAGCACCUCAACUUAUGGGUUAGGGGCAAAGCCAGUUUUGAGAUAAAUAAAAAUUCUGUAAAAUUUGUUCUUUUACACAUUCAGUUAUACUCAACAAAUAUUAUUUAAGCCUCUUGCACAUGUAAGACACUAGAGGUAGAGAUAAAACAAUGUGCCCAAAAAUUAAUAUGGGAAACAAUACAAAGAAAUAGAAAAUUAAAAUAUGGCAGAAACUUUACUUUGGGGAUGGAUAUAUCCUGAGAGCUUCUAAACCCCCAAACUUAAGCUGUACCUUAUUUAAUCCUAAUAAUCUUAUGAUAUUUAUAAUUAACCCCAUUACAAAUUACUAAACAUCAUAGUCUUUUAGGUCACUUACAAGUUUUCAAAACCACAAAUGCCAAGGACCAAAUCCAGUGUAAUGAAUAUCCUGAUCCAGGUGUGCACAGGUGCUACAGGAGCACAUAGGGCAGGAAAUUCAUCUAGCCUGUAGCAGGGAGAUGCAGUGAAGGCUCUUAUGCAAGGCUUGCAUCCAACCUGGAAUUCAGAGGACAGAGGGUAGUCAGAUAAAGGGGGAGUGGGUGUUUCUAGGCAUAGGAAACAGCAUAUGCAAAAAAAAAAGAAACAAGACCUAUUAUAUUCUUUUUGAUGAACUUCAAGGAAACUAAUAACAGUAAUAGACACAUGUGCACACACGCACUCAUAAUUUAC
rnacentral:lncRNA from 1 species